AUUUAAAUAGCUUAAUUUUUGAUAAGAGCAUAAUAUUGAAGAUAUUAAGGUAAUAAUUUUUAUUUUUAAAUA
rnacentral:tRNA from 2 species